CCUACGGGUGGCAGCAGUGGGGAAUAUUGGGCAAUGGGCGCAAGCCUGACCCAGCAACGCCGCGUGAAGGAAGAAGGCUUUCGGGUUGUAAACUUCUUUUGUCAGGGACGAAGCAAGUGACGGUACCUGACGAAUAAGCCACGGCUAAUUACGUGCCAGAAGCAGCGGUAAGACGUAGGUGGCAAGCGUUAUCCGGAUUUAUUGGGGGUAAAGGGGGUGUAGGCGGGAAUGCAAGUCAGAUGUGAAAACUAUGGGCUCAACCCAUAGCCUGCAUUUGAAACUGUAUUUCUUGAGUGCUGGAGAGGCAAUCGGAAUUCCGUGUAUAGCGGUGAAAUGCGUAGAUAUACGGAGGAACACCAGUGGCGAAGGCGGAUUGCUGGACAGUAACUGACGCUGAGGCGCGGAAGCGUGGGGAGCAAACAGGAUUAGAUACCCUUGUAGUC
rnacentral:rRNA from 1 species